GAGGGGGAGGUGUUGCUCGGGCCCGGACAGGAGGUUCCGUGUGGACAAUGUUGGAAGCUCAGAGCCUGGGCCAGGAUCAUGGCUCGUCCACCUCAGCACCAUCCUUGCAUUUCCUCAAUGAAUGAACCAUUGACUGAGCCUUUGACAAAAAAUCCAAAAUCCACAACGAGAUACGAGUUGGGAAAUCAGAACUACAUGGGCGGCACGGUGGUACAGCGGUAGAGUUAUUGACAUACAGCGCUUGCAGCGCCGGAGAUCCGGGUCCGAUCCUGACUACAGGUGCUGUCUGUUCGGAGUUUGUACGUUCUCUCCAUGACCGCGUGGGUUUUCUCCAAGAUUUUCGGUUUCCUCCCACACUCCAAAGACGUACAGGAACAAUCCUCUUUUCCUGCGCAGAGGAAGGGAACUCUGAGUAAGAUGGCCAAAACUCACAGCCGCAGCAACCACCUUCACUGAACAUUAUAUGCUUUAUUUCUCGACAUUCUCGACUUAUUACUGAUUAAAAGUUUUUAAAAAUUGAAAGACUUUGAAUUUAAAAUGAUCAGCUUCAACUGAUGACGUCACAACGGCUUGGCUAGUCGUAAUCAGCUUCACUGAAGAUUUCAUGAUUUGGUCUCCAUUUAUUGAGUCCUUACAAGCAUAUGGCGCAACAUAACCGUAGAAAUUAACUGUUUCAGGAUCGGGUAAAGGGUGGUCAAGAAUAAUAAAUAGCUAUUUCUCCUUCAGAUUGGGAGAGGGGAGAAGGAGAGGGGAGGAUGAAGAGGAGGGGAAAUGAGCCUGGGGGAACGGGUGAGUGGUGGAAUAUUACGUUGAAUAACGGGUUGCGUUGGGGGACCAGGCCUCCCGUGUGAGGGACCCAACGGGUCCCACUUAGUCUAGUAAAUUAAUAAUCAGUACUAGGAGGUAGCCGGACCACAAUAGUGCAAAACAAGUGUGUAGUGCAACCAAAACAAAGUCCUGAGGUCAGUAGUGGUUUGUGUUGUGUAGUGUUCAUGCGCUUGAUGGUUGCUGGGAAGAUGCUGUUUUUGAACCUAAAGUGCUGGAGUAAUUCAGCAAGUCAGGCAGCAUCUCUGGAAGACAUGGAUAGGCAAUAUUUCGAGCAUGACCCACUGGGUUACUCCAGCACUUUGAGCUCUACACAAGAUUCGAGCACCUGCAGUUCGUUGUGUUUGUUCUUGAACCUGGAGGACAUGGUUCACAUGCUCCUGUACUUCCUUGCCAAUGGUAAUAAUGAGUUGAGAACCUGGCCAGGGUGGUGUUGUUCUAUGAUGGUAUUAGCUGUCAUUGUGAGGCAACGCCUCUGGUGGAUCCCUUCAACAGUAGGGAGGUCAAUACCCAUGAUGGAUUGGCCAAUAUCUACCACAUUCUGUGGUAGCUCCCUUCAUUCCUAAGUGUCAGUAUUAUCGAACCAGGCUGUGCUGCAACCAGUCAGAAUGCUCUCUUGUACACCUGUAGACCUGUACACCUCUACUGUACACCAGUAGACGUUCGAUAGAAUUUUUGGCAACAUACCAAAUCUCCUCAAGCUUCUAAGUAAGUAGAGGCAUUGUUUAGUUUUCUGUCUGAUCUUCAGAAAUAUGCAUGCUCAGGAAUUUGACUCACUCCACUGUCGACCUGUCGAUGAAGACUGCUUUGCGGAUCUCCACUCCCUGGCAGUCAACAAGGAGCUCUUUGGUCUGUCGACCGUUGAGAGCAAGAUUGUUCUGGCGCCAUUCAAUCAGAUUAUGGAUCUCCCUCCUGUUCUCUUUGUCAAGGGAGUCGGAGCUGUGUCCUGCUGCACAGUCAUGAGUAUAGAGUGAGUAGAACAGGGGCUGAACACGCAGCCUUGAGGUGCCCCUGUGCUCAUGGUUAUCGAGGUAGAGGUUUUGUUGCCAAUUGGUACCAAUUGUGGUCUGGUGAUGAGGAAGUUGAGGAUCCAGUUGCAGAGGGAUGCGUAGAGACCCAAUUCUGUGAGUUUAGUAAUCAGUUUGGAGGAGAUGAUGGUGUUGAACGCCGAGCUGUAGUCUAUGAACAAUAACCUGAUAUGUGUUUUUAUUGUCCAAGUGUCCAGUGCAUAGUGGAGAGUCAGUGAGGUCGCAUACUCCAUUGACCUAUUGUGGCGGUUGGCCAGUUGUAGUGGGUCCAGGUUCUUGUGACGGUAGCAGUUGAUAUGCACUGUAACCAACCUCUCAUUGCACGACAUCACCACCGACAUUAGUGCCACCGGUCAGUAUUCAUUGAAGCACAUCACCUUACUCUUCUUGGGCACUGGUAUUAUUGAUGCCCUUUUAAUGCAAGUGGGGACCUCUGACAAUAGACAAUAGGUGCAGGAGUAGGCCAUUCGGCCCUUCGAGCCGGCACUGCCAUUCACUGUGAUCAUGGCUGAUCAUCCACAAUCAGUACCCCGUUCCUACCUUCUCCCCAUAUCCCGUGACUCUGCUAUCUUUAAGAGUUCUAUUUAACUCUCUCUUGAAAGCAUCCAGAGAACCGGCUUCCACUGCCUCCUGAGACAGAGAAUUCCACAGAUUCACAACUCUCUGGGUGAGAACGUUUUUCCUCAUCUCCGUUCUAAAUGGCCUACAUCUUAUUCUUAAACUGUGGUCCUGGUUCUGGACUCCUCCAACAUCGGGAACAUGUUUGCCGCCUCUAGCGUGUCCAAUCCUUUAAUAAUCAUAUAUGUUUCA